rnacentral:rRNA from 1 species
UGGGGAAUCUUGCGCAAUGGGCGAAAGCCUGACGCAGCAACGCCGCGUGAGGGACGAAGGCUUUCUGAGUUGUAAACCUCUUUCGACAGGAACGAUUGUGACGGUACCUGUAGAAGAAGCACCGGCCAACUAUGUGCCAGCAGCCGCGGUGAUACAUAGGGUGCGAGCGUUAUUCGGAUUUAUUGGGCGUAAAGAGCUCGUAGGCGGUUCAACAAGUCGGGUGUUAAACCCCCAGGCUCAACCUGGGGCCGCCACCCGAAACUGUUGUGACUAGAGUUUGGUAGGGGAUCACGGAAUUCCUGGUGUAGCGGUGGAAUGCGCAGAUAUCAGGAGGAACACCAGCAGCGAAGGCGGUGAUCUGGGCCAAUACUGACGCUGAGGAGCGAAAGCGUGGGGAGCGAACAGG